rnacentral:lncRNA from 1 species
UCUGGACGGAUUUAAUGCUGUUGUUUAAUGUGUCUUUAGUGCUUUAAAGUGCCGAAUUUAAUAUGUCUAAUUGUUGACUUAAUUCAGCCGAAUUAAUGAACCACUUUAAGGUGUCUUGUGGCUGCCGAAUUUAAUGUUAACUUAAUUCAUGUCCAGCCAAAUUAAUAUGGCUAAUUAAUAUGUCUUGGUUCAAGCAUGAGAUUAAUUAUGUUCAAAUAGGGCUGCCGAAAUUAAUUGUAAUGUGCAUGAAUUAUUUGACCGAAUUUAUUUUGUGUCUGCAGGUCAUUGAAUUCGGCUAAAUGGCAAAGGAAACAUGCAUUUAAGGAGAUGUUCCCAUGCAUGGAACGGCAUUUAAAGGGAAGUUGGC